GAUGAACGCUAGCGGCAGGCCUAAUACAUGCAAGUCGAGGGGUAGAAGAGGCUUGCUUCUUUGAGACCGGCGCACGGGUGCGUAACGCGUAUGCAACCUACCUUCAUCUGGGGGAUAGCCCGGAGAAAUCCGGAUUAAUACCGCAUAAAAUCACAGGAUGGCAUUAUCCAAUGAUCAAACAUUUAUGGGAGAAGGAUGGGCAUGCGUGCCAUUAGCUAGUUGGCGGGGUAACGGCCCACCAAGGCGACGAUGGCUAGGGGAUCUGAGAGGAUGGCCCCCCACACUGGUACUGAGACACGGACCAGACUCCUACGGGAGGCAGCAGUAAGGAAUAUUGGUCAAUGGGCGCAAGCCUGAACCAGCCAUGCCGCGUGCAGGAAGACGGCCCUCCGGGUUGUAAACUGCUUUUGUACGGGAAUAAACCUCCGAUCGUGAUCGGAGCUGAAUGUACCGUAAGAAUAAGGAUCGGCUAACUCCGUGCCAGCAGCCGCCGUAA
rnacentral:rRNA from 1 species